rnacentral:SRP_RNA from 1 species
CCAUACCAGCCGGGGAAUUAGCGGUGCCCUGUACCUGAGAUCCGCUACAGCAGGGGUUCAUUCCUUUUCUGAGGGUGAAGCUUUUAAGUAUGAGUCGUGCCUGCUGCGUUGAAGAGCGGGUCUUGCGCAAUCGGGAGUUGUGAACCAUGUCAGGUGGGGAACCAAGCAGCAUUAAGCAAUCAGCCUGAUGUGCCGCGAGGCAGCCUGCUCGGAGCAGGAGGUACGGAGAUCGCUUGGGAGUGACAUUCGAUUUUAAGGUGUAUGG